GGGCGCUUAGCUCAGUCGGUAGAGCAUCUGACUUUUAAUCAGGGGGUCACAGGUUCGAAUCCUGUAGCGCCCACCA
rnacentral:tRNA from 1 species